rnacentral:misc_RNA from 1 species
UCGCGGCUUAUCACCGGCAGUCCCCCUAGAGUGCCCAACUGAAUGAUGGCAACUAAGGGCGAGGGUUGCGCUCGUUGCGGGACUUAACCCAACAUCUCACGACACGAGCUGACGACAGCCAUGCAGCACCUGUCUCACGGUUCCCGAAGGCACCAAUCCAUCUCUGGAAAGUUCCGUGGAUGUCAAGGCCAGGUAAGGUUCUUCGCGUUGCAUCGAAUUAAACCACAUACUCCACCGCUUGUGCAGGCCCCCGUCAAUUUCUUUGAGUUUUAAUCUUGCGACCGUACUUCCCAGGCGGCACGUUUAACGCGUUAGCGCCGGCACGGGAGGAGUCGACACCUCCCACACCUAGUGCCCAUCGUUUACAGCGUGGACUAC